CCCUUAGAUGUUCUGGGCUGCACGCGCGCUACAAUGGCGUUUUCAAAAAGAUUGCUAAUCCGAAAGGACCAGCGGAUCUUCGAAGUGGCGUCGUGAUCGGGACAGUUGAUUGCAAUUAUUCGACUCGAACGAGGAAUUCCUUGUAAUCGUGCGUCAUCAGCGCACGCUGAAUACGUCCCUGUUCUUUGUACACACCGCCCGUCGCUCCUACCGAUUGAAUGCUCAGGUGAGCCAUUCGGACUUUCAUCAUGCUGGUUUCCAGUUUUGAUGAAGGAAAGUCUUGCGAACCUUAUCAUUUAGAGGAAGGAGAAGUCGUAACA
rnacentral:rRNA from 1 species